GGGGGCGAUCGGUAUUGACUGGUUCUCCGAUGGUGACGGUGGCGUGUCGUGGUUGAUCAGCUGGCCACGUAAAAAGCCGAUCAAAAAUUAACUGCCAACAAGCAGUUUGCACUCGUCGCCUAGAGAUAGGCAACGCCGGUUGAGGAAUCCCCGCCUGUGGAGUCCAAAGACCGGUCACAAAUACAGGCUGGUCCGGAACCAAGAUGGCUUGCCAUCGCGGGGACUACUCUCCGGAUAAGACUCUGUCGUCCCCUGACGGGUUGAGGCUCUGCCUGCCGUGCCAACCCCCGUGACCCCAAACGACCGGCUACACACGUAGAGGCCCCACUUGAAGGUUCUCAGGACGCGGGUUCGAUUCCCGCCGCCUCCAUCG
rnacentral:tmRNA from 1 species